rnacentral:tRNA from 1 species
GCUCGGAUGGUGGAACGGUAGACACUGGAGACUUAAAAUCUCCUGGGAGUAAUCCCGUGCAGGUUCGAUUCCUGUUCCGAGCA